rnacentral:rRNA from 2 species
UACGUAGGGGGCAAGCGUUGUCCGGAAUCAUUGGGCGUAAAGCGCGUGUAGGCGGCCCGGUAAGUCCGCUGUGAAAGUCAAGGGCUCAACCCUUGGAUGCCGGUGGAUACUGUCGGGCUAGAGUGCGGGAGAGGCGAGUGGAAUUCCUGGUGUAGCGGUGAAAUGCGCAGAUAUCAGGAGGAACACCGAUUGCGAAGGCAGCUCGCUGGAACGUAACUGACGCUGAGACGCGAAAGCGUGGGGAGCAAACAGG